rnacentral:lncRNA from 1 species
GCACAACCCUGAGCACAACUGUCUUCAUCUGAACUUUAGUGGAUGAGAUGCUGGGAAAUGCAAGGGAAGGCAGAAUUCUUCCUCCUCCAUCUACCAAAAGAGGAGAAGAGCUACCUGGGAGAGUGAUGAAGUGAGAAAUUGCUGACAGAGUGAAUUUCUUUCCACACUGAAUAAGAAGGUUGUACUGUAACAUGGACCAUGAUGUUAUUUUGCUUUCUUGGUGUGGCGAUUGCACACACAAAUUCUGCCAGACCACCCAUCUGGGUGGGUGUGUACAGCUACAAGAACUACCUUCACACAUACAUUGCAGAGAGAAGCUGCUACUGACGGCUGAAGAAAAGGUUGUUCCCAGGUGCCUGUUUGCUGUGUUGAGUGGAAGUGCACCAGAGGGAUUGCUGACAAUCAUUACUCCUGGUGGAAUAAAGCCUGCUCUAGUGCCGUGGGCUCGUUUGGACUGAGGAUCUGCUCAGAGGGAGCUGCUGAAAACAAGAGCCAUAAGCCUUACGCCCACGGUAUGCAAGAAUGUUUUUCAUGUACUGCCAUCUGCUGUCGCAGCGUACCCAUUUCAUCACUACACUGUUCUCCUGGGGUUUUCAUUCCAGAAGCAAGCACAUCCCUUCCAAGAAGUCUGUUAAAAAUGCAGUUAAGUUGGAAGAACUGCUUUAAUUCAUACGUGCUCUGCCUGAUACAGCAUGCAAUGAGAUUCUAAAAAUUCUGCUUUCAGUUGUGGCAAUAGCCAAAGGAGUGUUAUUUUUUCUCCCAUUUAACUUAUUCACUAGUAAGUUUGUAUCUUUAGUCAGACCAUAGCCAGAGCAUUCGUAUUCUAAAUCAGCAGUAAAUUUACAGCAAAACAUACACACACGUAUCACAAGCUUCACAUAUAUUUAUACACACUGAAAUUAUAAAAGAUCAUGCAAGUGCAUAAAUACAUUUACAUGUACUGCUGUACUUAUUCAGACUGCUGGUUCAGAAUACAUGUUAUGGUUUGCAUAUAUAUAAGCUACGGAUUUGCAUCCAAAAUCUGAUCAGUUAGCACCUUGUUCCCUACAUGUGUAUUAUAAAAAAAUAGAACGUAGUGUUUCAGAAGCUGGUAGGAAAAUAAAAGACUUUGUGUGUAAUUGAAUAAGGGGUGA